rnacentral:rRNA from 1 species
AGUGAACGCUGGCGGUAGGCCUAACACAUGCAAGUCGAACGGCAGCACAGUAAGAGCUUGCUCUUACGGGUGGCGAGUGGCGGACGGGUGAGGAAUACAUCGGAAUCUACUUUUUCGUGGGGGAUAACGUAGGGAAACUUACGCUAAUACCGCAUACGACCUACGGGUGAAAGCAGGGGAUCUUCGGACCUUGCGCGAUUGAAUGAGCCGAUGUCGGAUUAGCUAGUUGGCGGGGUAAAGGUCCACCAAGGCGACGAUCCGUAGCUGGUCUGAGAGGAUGGUCGGCCACACUGGAACUGAGACACGGUCCAGGCUCCUACGGGAGGCAGCAGUGGGGAAUAUUGGACAAUGGGCGCAAGCCUGGUCCAGCCAUACCGCGUGGGUGAAGAAGGCCUUCGGGUUGUAAAGCCCUUUUGUUGGGAAAGAAAAGCAGCAGGUUAAUACCCCGCUGUUCUGACGGUACCCAAAGAAUAAGCACCGGCUAACUUCGUG